GCGGCGAACGGGUGAGGAAUGCAUGGGUAACCUACCCUCGAGUGGGGAAUAACUAGCCGAAAGGUUAGCUAAUACCGCAUACGUUUCCGGGACUUCGGUUCCGGAAAGAAAGCAAUACCGUGGGUAUUGCGCUCAUGGAUGGGCUCAUGUCCUAUCAGCUUGUUGGUGAGGUAACGGCUCACCAAGGCUUCGACGGGUAGCUGGUCUGAGAGGACGAUCAGCCACACUGGCACUGCGACACGGGCCAGACUCCUACGGGAGGCAGCAGUAAGGAAUAUUGCGCAAUGGACGAAAGUCUGACGCAGCGACGCCGCGUGGGGGAUGAAGGUCUUCGGAUUGUAAACCCCUUUCGGGAGGGAAGAUGGAGUGGGUAACCACUUGGACGGUACCUCCAGAAGCAGCCACGGCUAACUUCGUGCCAGCAGCCGCGGUAAUACGAAGGUGGCAAGCGUUGUUCGGAUUCACUGGGCGUACAGGGAGCGUAGGCGGUUGGGUAAGCCCUCCGUGAAAUCUCCGGGCCUAACCCGGAAAGUGCAGAGGGGACUGCUCAGCUAGAGGAUGGGAGAGGAGCGUGGAAUUCCCGGUGUAGCGGUGAAAUGCGUAGAGAUCGGGAGGAAGGCCGGUGGCGAAGGCGGCGCUCUGGAACAUUUCUGACGCUGAGGCUCGAAAGCGUGGGGAGCAAACAGGAUUAGAUACCCUGGUAGUCCACGCCUUAAACUAUGGAUACUAAGUGUCGGCGGUUUACCGCCGGUGCCGCAGCUAACGCAAUAAGUAUCCCG
rnacentral:rRNA from 1 species